UACAGAGGGGGCAAGCGUUGUUCGGAAUUACUGGGCGUAAAGGGCGCGUAGGCGGCCUUCUAAGUCGAACGUGAAAUCCCCGGGCUCAACCCGGGAACUGCGUCCGAUACUGGAAGGCUUGAAUCCGGGAGAGGGAUGUGGAAUUCCAGGUGUAGCGGUGAAAUGCGUAGAUAUCUGGAGGAACACCGGUGGCGAAGGCGGGUCUCUGGGCAAUAACUGACGCUGAGGAGCGAAAGCGUGGGGAGCAAACAGG
rnacentral:rRNA from 1 species